rnacentral:sRNA from 1 species
GCCAGGCAUGAUGGCGUAUGCCUGUAAUCCCAGCAACUCGGGAGGCUGAGGCAGGAGGAUUGCAAGUUCCAGGCCAGCCUCAGCAACUUAGAGAGGCCCUCAGCAACUUAGCAAGACCCUGUCUUGG